GAUGAACGCUGGCGGCGUGCCUAAUACAUGCAAGUCGAGCGAAUGGAUUAAGAGCUUGCUCUUAUGAAGUUAGCGGCGGACGGGUGAGUAACACGUGGGUAACCUGCCCAUAAGACUGGGAUAACUCCGGGAAACCGGGGAUAAUACCGGAUAACAUUUUGAACCGCAUGGUUCGAAAUUGAAAGGCGGCUUCGGCUUGCACUUAUGGAUGGACCCGCGUCGCAUUAGCUAGUUGGUGAGGUAACGGCUCACCAAGGCAACGAUGCGUAGCCGACCUGAGAGGGUGAUCGGCCACACUGGGACUGAGACACGGCCCAGACUCCUACGGGAGGCAGCAGUAGGGAAUCUUCCGCAAUGGACGAAAGUCUGACGGAGCAACGCCGCGUGAGUGAUGAAGGCUUUCGGGUCGUAAAACUCUGUUGUCAGGGAAGAACAAGUGCUAGUUGAAUAAGCUGGCACCUUGACGGUACCUAACCAGAAAGCCACGGCUAACUACGUGCCAGCCGCCGCAGUAA
rnacentral:rRNA from 1 species